GAAUUGGUUCAAUUGAGAUUUAUAUAUAUUUUGAGAUUUUGAGAUAAAUGAACAUAUAAGUACAUUUUGAUGAACUUGUCAAUUAAUUUUUAUGAACGCGCGUUGGUCUGGGGUUCAAUCCCUACAAGUGGCGUGUUUUUUAAAUAAAUUAAAUAGAUUCAUAUGUUCAUCAGUUAUAUUGGUUAUGUUCAAAAAAUUUAUUGAUAUGUUCAUUUAUCUCAAAAUCUCAAAAAAUUUAAAAUCUCAAUAUAAGCUAACCCUAU
rnacentral:lncRNA from 1 species